rnacentral:rRNA from 1 species
AGCGGCGGAUGGGUGAGUAACACGUGGGGAACCUGCCCCUAAGUCUGGGAUACCAUUUGGAAACAGGUGCUAAUACCGGAUAAUAAAGCAGAUCGCAUGAUCAGCUUUUGAAAGGCGGCGUAAGCUGUCGCUAAGGGAUGGCCCCGCGGUGCAUUAGCUAGUUGGUAAGGUAACGGCUUACCAAGGCGACGAUGCAUAGCCGAGUUGAGAGACUGAUCGGCCACAUUGGGACUGAGACACGGCCCAAACUCCUACGGGAGGCAGCAGUAGGGAAUCUUCCACAAUGGACGCAAGUCUAAUGGAGCAACGCCGCGUGAGUGAAGAAGGUUUACGGAUCGUAAAGCUCUGUUAUUGGUGAAGAAGGAUAGAGGUAGUAACUGGCCUUUAUUUGACGGUAAUCAACCAGAAAGUCACGGCUAACUACGUGCCAGCAGCCGCGGUAAUACGUAGGUGGCAAGCGUUAUCCGGAUUUAUUGGGCGUAAAGCGAGCGCAGGCGGUUGCUUAGGUCUGAUGUGAAAACCUUCGGCUUAACCGAAGAAGUGCAUCGGAAACCGGGCGACUUGAGUGCAGAAGAGGACAGUGGAACUCCAUGUGUAGCGGUGGAAUGCGUAGAUAUAUGGAAGAACACCAGUGGCGAAAGGCGGCUCUCUGGUCUGCAACUGACGCUGAGGCUCGAAAGCAUGGGUAGCGAACAGGAUUAGAUACCCUGGUAGUCCAUGCCGUAAACGAUGAGUGCUAAGUGU